AACGAACGCUGGCGGCAGGCUUAACACAUGCAAGUUGAACGCCCCGCAAGGGGAGUGGCAGACGGGUGAGUAACGCGUGGGAAUCUACCCAUCUCUGCGGAAUAGCUCCGGGAAACUGGAAUUAAUACCGCAUACGCCCUACAGGGGAAAGAUUUAUCGGGGAUGGAUGAGCCCGCGUUGGAUUAGCUAGUUGGUGGGGUAAAGGCCUACCAAGGCGACGAUCCAUAGCUGGUCUGAGAGGAUGAUCAGCCACAUUGGGACUGAGACACGGCCCAAACUCCUACGGGAGGCAGCAGUGGGGAAUAUUGGACAAUGGGCGCAAGCCUGAUCCAGCCAUGCCGCGUGAGUGAUGAAGGCCUUAGGGUUGUAAAGCUCUUUCACCGGUGAAGAUAAUGACGGUAACCGGAGAAGAAGCCCCGGCUAACUUCGUGCCAGCCGCCGCGGUAA
rnacentral:rRNA from 1 species